UGCUCAUCCUGAAACUUACCUGCUUGAGUGACAUACUUCUUUAUAUGCCCAUAUGAACCUGGCAAACUAUGGAAUGUAAAGAAGUAUGUAUUUCAGGUAUGGACCUUCACGCUGGUGCUAA
rnacentral:precursor_RNA from 11 species